rnacentral:misc_RNA from 1 species
CCUCCGUAGGUGAACCUGCGGAGGGAUCAUUACAGAGUUCAUGCCCUACCGGGUAGAUCUCCCACCCUAUGUUAUUAUUACUUUGUUGCUUUGGCGGGCCGUUAGGCUCCGGCCCGACUACCGGCCCCGGCUGGUAAGCGCCCGCCAGAGGACCCAAAACCCUGAAUAUUAGUGUCGUCUGAGUACUAUAUAAUAGUUAAAACUUUCAACAACGGAUCUCUUGGUUCUG